rnacentral:rRNA from 1 species
CCCUUAGAUGUCCGGGGCUGCACGCGCGCUACACUGAAGGAAUCAGCGUGCUAAAACCAUUGUCGAAAGGCAUUGGUAAACCCAUUAAAAUCCUACGUGAUUGGGAUCGGAAAUUGCAAUUAUUUCCCUUGAACGAGGAAUUCCCAGUAAGUGUGGGUCAUAAGCUCGCGUUGAUUACGUCCCUGCCCUUUGUACACACCGCCCGUCGCUGCCCGGGACUGAGCCGUUUCGAGAAAAGCGGGGACUGCUGCUGUCGGGGCUUUCGGGCCUUGGCUUCGGUGGAAACCGCUUUAAUCGCAGUGGCUUGAACCGGGCAAAAGUCGUAACA